GAUGAACGCUGGCGGCGUGCUUAACACAUGCAAGUCGAACGGAAAGGCCCAAGCUUGCUUGGGUACUCGAGUGGCGAACGGGUGAGUAACACGUGGGUGAUCUGCCCUGCACUUCGGGAUAAGCCUGGGAAACUGGGUCUAAUACUGGAUAGGACCACUUCUUGGAUGUUGUGGUGGAAAGUUUUUUCGGUGUGGGAUGAGCUCGCGGCCUAUCAGCUUGUUGGUGGGGUAAUGGCCUACCAAGGCGUCGACGGGUAGCCGGCCUGAGAGGGUGUACGGGCACAUUGGGACUGGGAUACGGCCCAGACUCCUACGGGGGGCAGCAGUGGGGAAUAGUGCACAAUGGGCGCAAGCCUGAUGCAGCGACGCCGCGUGGGGGAUGACGGCCUUCGGGUUGUAAACUCCUUUCGCUAGGGACGAAGCGUUUUGUGACGGUACCUGGAGAAGAAGCACCGGCUAACUACGUG
rnacentral:rRNA from 1 species